UUUAAUACACAAGGAUGACACAAGAGACAUUCAACUACAUUCUCAAGAAAGUUGAACAUCGUCUUGUGAAGACAUGGUGUAAUUGGCAUGAGCAACCCAUUCAACCUGAAGAAAGACUUGUCAUUACUAUCAGGUAUCUUGCCACAGGAUCGUCGUUCCAUUCCCUUACAUUUUCGUUUAGGGUCGGAGUGACAACGGUGGGAAAGAUUGUUUUAGAGACUGUUAUCGCACUGUGGGAAGAACUACAUGAGGAACACAUGCCAGUACCAACAAAGGAGUCCUUCAAAAUGAUCGCUGAAGAUUUCUACAGCAUCUGGAAUUUCCCUAACUGUUUAGGCUCAAUUGAUGGAAAACAUAUCCGUGUUCAGUGUCCCCAAAAUUCAGGAUAAAUGUACUUUAACUACAAAAAGUUUUUUUCCAUUGUCCUUCAAGCUGUUGCAGAUGCACACUACAAGUUCAUUGCUGUUGAUGUAGGAGGCUUUGGAAAGCAAAGUGAUGGUGGUACGCUCCAAGCCUCUGAUCUGUACAGUGUCUUGACAAAGGGAAAACUAGAAAUUCCUGAACCUUCUUACGUACCAAAUACAAAUGUCAAAGCUCCGUAUGUGUUUGUGGGGGAUGAAGCCUAUCCACUUUUACCUUUCCUACUAAAACCGUAUGGUGGACGUAAUUUGACUAUUGAAGAUACCACCUUCAACCAACGUUUAUCCAGGUGUAGGAAGACUGUUGAGUGUGCUUUUGGCAUGUUAUACAGCAAAUGGCGUUUACUGUCAAAGUGUGUAGAAACCAAAGUUGAUUUGAUUGACAACAUUGUAAAAUGUAUUUGUUCUGCAUAACACAAUCAUAGAUAAAAAAGGGCGUUGAACAUCAUCUAACUGAGACUGCUGUCUCAACUCUUCAGCAAAAUGAUCAUAUGUAUUGUCGGGGAAGACCGUCAAACGAAGCUGUGAAUGUUAGGGAAAUCUUUAAAUCUUUCUUAUUGAAGUAUCCUUUAGUAUACAAGGACCAAACAAAGCAGUAAACCAUGUUUAAGAUAACAGAGUUUCACUAGCUGUGUUUUUGCUACUUAACUAAUCUUAUAACUCCUGUACUGUCCAUAGUAAAAAAAUAAAGAUAAAAUGGUUCAUAAGUUUUAAA